UCACGUCACUUUGAAGGGUCGUAGCGCCACCCCCCUUGAGGCUAGGGAGUUGGUCAAUAGCUCAUUUGAUAGGUAUUGGAGAGGAGAUGAAAUGAUCACUGAGCUCAUUUUACUCAAAAUUCAAUAUUUCAGGAGUUCUUGACGAAAAACUGAUUUGGGGGGGGGCUUUAAUCCACUGUGGGGGGUUAUCUCGUGAAGUAGGGGCGGGGACUUUUAGUAUGUUGUUCACUUGUUCAGCAUACCACCCCAGACAAUAUUCACCAAAAAACCUUUGAUUGCAAUAAUGUUUGGGUUCGCCUAUUUUUUUUCUGCUAUUUGACUGGGCUAUAUGUAGUUAGGUAUUUUGCUUUCAUUCCUCCGAGCGUGGAAUUUCUUUCGUAUCUGAUUAAUUAACGUAAAUACAUAUCUGAUGGGUUAAUCAUUUCAAAAAUACAUGCGUACAUUUUUCAAUUUCCUAUUUCAAAAUUAAUAGUUCCUCCCGUUACUAAUCAAUUCGUGUACACUGUAACAUCCCGAGUUAAAUUUCAACGUGUGGAAAUUGGCAAAAACUAAAAUGAAAAAGUAAAAUUUCACACGUGAGUACUUAUUUUGUUGAUUUCAUUCUACGCACGCAUCCGUGUUUUUAUCCGAGCAAAUUUUUCGAAUGAUGGAGUUUUGCAAAUCAGAGAUACUCACUUUUCUCUAAACCAACAUUACAAUGCUGAAAAUAACUGUAAUUUUUUUAACCGUCACGAUAAUUUGGACAAACGCGAGCCUUUACGAAAGCAAAGAGGUAUGCGAAUUUGAGGCCUGCAGAAAAACAUGCACGGAUGUAUUUGAUCGGAAGGUACCAGGAAAGGAAAUAACUGGUUUAUGUUUGAAUAAAGGGACAUGUCAUUGUUACGAAUACGACGAGAACACACAUUGUCUCAUACAUUUGCCGGAUGGAAAAGUAAUAGGGUCCGCAAUUCACGAUAAAAGGUGUGAUAAAAUUCCGGAAGAUCUGCCUUACGAGUAUCCUGAAAAAUUGUAUAAUCAUCCACUCGAAGAAUGAAAAUGCAGAGUAUGAUAAAAUGAUUAGCCAAUAAGUUUUCCUACCUAAUUGUAAAUUACGAAACGCCAUACUAAAGUAUUUACUUAGGUAUAAUAUAGAAUCAAAAGUUGUAAAUAUAAUUCCAUUUUGUAGAAUGUUUGAGAAAAAUAUACUCGUACAUUUUUGUAAAAUUUUGUACAUAUAAUUUACCUACUUGAUACUUAUUGCUUAUUUAAGGAUAAAAGUAUCGAGUCGUAAAGAUAAACUUGAACCUUCACUUAUCAAUGACGAAAAAUUCAACAGCUUCUUGAAGUAGGUAAUAAAAAUUCUCAAGUCAUUGAUAAUAACUAAUAAGGAAACCAACGAAUGGAUCCAGGAAGAUAAAAAACCACGGAUGGUUAUUGAUCCUGAUAAAUGAUAACAUAUUUCUGCGUUGUAGUAGAUAUCCUGAGGAAAAUUUCAAUCGAUCGAAAUCGUCACAAAUUAACAUAGAGAAGUAAAAUUGCACAUGAACGUUUUGAACUUGUCAUUUCGUCCACAAAUGAGUAUCAUAUUCCUUGAGCGUACCUAG